GCUCUUGAACGAGGAAUCCCUAGUAAGCGUGAGUCAUCAGCUCAUGUUGAUUACGUCCCUGCCCUUUGUACACACCGCCCGUCGCUACUACCGAUUGAAUGGCUUAGUGAGACUCUCGGAUCGGGUUUUAGGAACCGGCAACGGUACCUUUCUUCUGAGAAGUUUGUCAAACUUGGUCAUUUAGAGGAAGUAAAAGUCGUAACAAGGUUUCCGUAGGUGAACCUGCGGAAGGAUCAUUAGAAUUAUUAGGAAGAUUUUUUAAUCUUUCCAAUACUUUACUCAAAAUUUUCGGUCUUAUAUACAUAUAUUUAAAUAUAUUUAAAAAUUUUUUUGAUAACUUUCAACAACGGAUCUCUUGGUUCUUGCAUCGAUGAAGAACGCAGCUAAAUGCGAUAGGUAAUGUGAAUUGCAGAAUUCCGUGAAUCAUCAAAUUUUUGAACGCAAAUUGCACUCUCUGGUAUUCCGGGGAGUAUACUUGCUUGAGGGUUAGUGAUUACAAAUCGUGAAAAGAAAUUUUUACGGAUCUGGAUUUUCCGAAAAAGUUUUUUUGGUAAUCCAAAAUUUAUCUUAACUAUAGGUGAUAUUGGAAAUGUUUAUCUUUUUUUUUUUCAUGGACAAUUAUUACCUAUUUGUUACGUCGUGUUAUUUUCCUAAUUCCUUGAUUGGGUAAGAGUAACACAAUUUUUCCUUUGAAAUCUGACCUCAAGUCAAGUAAGAAUACCCGCUGAACUUAAGCAUAUCAAUAAGCGGAGGAAAAGAAACUAACAAGGAUUCCCUUAGUAACGGCGAGUGAACUGGGAAAAGCUCAAAUUUUAAAUCACCUAGGUGAGUUGUAAUUUGAAGAAAGUGUUUUGAUGCUCUGGUUUAGCCUAAAUCCUUUGGGAUAAGGUAUCAUAGAGGGUGAGAAUCCCGUUCAUGACUAAACCGUGGGUGUCACCUAAUUCACUUUCCAAGAGUCGAGUUGUUUGGGAUUGCAGCUCAAAAUGGGUGGUAAAUUUCACCUAAGGCUAAGUAUGUGCAAGAGACCGAUAGCGAACAAGUACCGUGAGGGAAAGAUGAAAAGAACUUUGAAAAGAGAGUUAAAUAGUACGUGAAAUUGUUGAAAGGGAAACGAUUGAAGUCAGUCAUGCUUGCAAGGAAUCAACAAAGUGGUUUUCUUCCUUGUGUACUUCCUUGCUUGGCAGGUUAGCAUCAAUUUUGAUUGUCAUUAAAGAACUGGGGGAAUGUGGCUUCUUCGGGAGUGUUAUAGACCCUGGUAGAUGUGGCGAUUGGGAUCGAGGAUUGCAGCGAAUGCUUCUUGGCUAGUCACCUGGCUUCUGAUGGUCACCUUGCUUUCGAUAGCUUGCUAACGUUGGUGAGAUUUGAUUGUCUAGAUGUUAGAGUGAACAUAAAUUCGCUAAGGAUGCGGACGUAAUGGCUUUAAACGACCCGUCUUGAAACACGGACCAAGGAGUCUAACAUAUGUGCGAGUGUUUAAGCC
rnacentral:sRNA from 1 species